rnacentral:rRNA from 1 species
CCUACGGGAGGCAGCAGUGGGGAAUAUUGCACAAUGGGCGCAAGCCUGAUGCAGCGACGCCGCGUGAGGGAUGACGGCCUUCGGGUUGUAAACCUCUUUCAGUAGGGAAGAAGCGAGAGUGACGGUACCUGCAGAAGAAGCGCCGGCUAACUACGUGCCAGCAGCCGCGGUAAUACGUAGGGCGCAAGCGUUAUCCGGAUUUAUUGGGCGUAAAGAGCUCGUAGGCGGUUUGUCGCGUCUGCCGUGAAAGUCCGAGGCUCAACCUCGGAUCUGCGGUGGGUACGGGCAGACUAGAGUGAUGUAGGGGAGACUGGAAUUCCUGGUGUAGCGGUGAAAUGCGCAGAUAUCAGGAGGAACACCGAUGGCGAAGGCAGGUCUCUGGGCAUUUACUGACGCUGAGGAGCGAAAGCAUGGGGAGCGAACAGGAUUAGAUACCCUGGUAGUCCAUGCCGUAAACGUUGGGCACUAGGUGUGGGGGACAUUCCACGUUUUCCGCGCCGUAGCUAACGCAUUAAGUGCCCCGCCUGGGGGAGGUACGGCCGCGACGGACGUAAACGUUAAACGUAGUAAGUUAGACGGCGUGAGACGUGCCGACGGACGACGACGAGGGAGGUUAGG